AAUGCGUUUAGUUGAAUCUGCUGCAAAGGUCUAGAUUCGUCUCUCGCUUUGUUGAUGUGUCCGUGUAGUUGCUGGAUUUGGAUUACUUUGUAUUUCAGGAUAUAGCUAGAGUUGUUUUGGAAUUGGUAUUUUUCAGUGCAGUUGUGUUUUAGAGGACUUUCCUAAUAUAUUUUGAGGGGUAAUUGAUGCAUCAUUACCAUAGGGGAGGAGUUAUGGUUGACCUAUACUUUUUGUUUUAGUUUCCGAUUGGAAACUAA
rnacentral:misc_RNA from 1 species